rnacentral:rRNA from 1 species
GUGGGGAAUAUUGCACAAUGGACGAAAGUCUGAUGGAGCAACGCCGCGUGAACGAUGAAGGCUUUCGGGUCGUAAAGCUCUGUUGCCAGGGAAGAACGUCCGGUAGAGUAACUGCUACCGGAGUGACGGUACCUGAGAAGAAAGCCCCGGCUAACUACGUGCCAGCAGCCGCGGUAAAACGUAGGUGGCAAGCGUUGUCCGGAUUUACUGGGCGUAAAGGGAGCGUAGGUGGAUAUUUAAGUGGGAUGUGAAAUACUCGGGCUUAAACUGGGUGCUGCAUUCCAAACUGGAUAUCUAGAGUGCAGGAGAGGUAAGUGGAAUUCCUAGUGUAGCGGUGAAAUGCGUAGAGAUUAGGAAGAACACCAGUGGCGAAGGCGAUUCUCUGGACUGUAACUGACGCUGAGGCUCGAAAGCGUGGGGAGCAAACAGGAUUAGAUACCCCUGUAGUCC